rnacentral:rRNA from 1 species
UACGAAGGGGGCUAGCGUUGCUCGGAAUCACUGGGCGUAAAGCGCACGUAGGCGGCUUUCUAAGUCAGGGGUGAAAUCCUGGAGCUCAACUCCAGAACUGCCUUUGAUACUGGAGAGCUUGAGUCCGGGAGAGGUGAGUGGAACUCCGAGUGUAGAGGUGAAAUUCGUAGAUAUUCGCAAGAACACCAGUGGCGAAGGCGGCUCACUGGCCCGGUACUGACGCUGAGGCGCGAAAGCGUGGGGAGCAAACAGG